rnacentral:rRNA from 1 species
UACGUAGGGCGCAAGCGUUGUCCGGAAUUAUUGGGCGUAAAGAGCUCGUAGGCGGCUUGUCACGUCGGGUGUGAAAGCCCGGGGCUUAACCCCGGGUCUGCAUUCGAUACGGGCAGACUAGAGUUCGGUAGGGGAGACUGGAAUUCCUGGUGUAGCGGUGAAAUGCGCAGAUAUCAGGAGGAACACCGGUGGCGAAGGCGGGUCUCUGGGCCGAUACUGACGCUGAGGAGCGAAAGCGUGGGGAGCGAACAGG